GAUCCUGGCUCAGGAUGAACGCUAGCUACAGGCUUAACACAUGCAAGUCGAGGGGGCGAGCAUGGUCUUAGCUUGCUAAGGCCGAUGGCGACCGGCGCACGGGUGAGUAACGCGUAUCCAACCUGCCCAUCGACUUGGGGAAUAACCUUGCGAAAGUAAGACUAAUACCCAAUGAUAUCCCACGAAGGCAUCCGAAUGGGAUUAAAGAUUUAUCGGUGAUGGAUGGGGAUGCGU
rnacentral:rRNA from 1 species